UUCAUUAGGUACUAUUUAUGUAUCUUCCAGAUUGAUAGUCUUCAAUUUCAUCUUUUUUAUUUUCGAUUGUAAACAUUGCUUGAUCACUCCCUUUGUGAAUGUAUUUCAAUAUGUAUUUUAUUGCAACGACUGAACUACAUGAUUCAAGAUUGAUAUGUGCUUUCAUUAUUUUUGAAACAAGUGGAGAGUAAGGAACAAUCCAACUGUUAUCUACAUCGACUGGUUUAUAUUUACCAUUCAUCAUUCUCAUUUUUAUAGUAGUUUUAAAACCACCAUCCGUUGAAAUGGGAUAAAAAAAAACUAUAGCAAAUUGUUUGUGCAGAUUAACACAAUGGUACGACAAAACAGGAAAAAAACAAAAAGAUGAUAUUUACAUUCAAAUAAGCAGAGAACAAGAAGAAGGCUACAAUUUUGUUAAAUUUAAUAUGAUGUAUAAUAAAGCAAAAAACACUAUUAUAGACGUUAUUGCCAAAAUAGAACAAAUUAAGGACACCGAAAACAUAACAUCCGUACACGGUGAUCACUAUGAGAAAAAAGAAAUAAUUCUCAUAGAUGAAAACAACAGAAAAAUAACUUUAAAUUUAUGGAAUGAAAAAAUCAAUGAAUUCAAAGGAAAAAAAGAGGAUAUUAUUGCAAUUAAAAAUGCCAAAAUUGGAGAGUAUAAUUACACUAAAAAUUUAACUUUAAUCAAUUCAUCUAGAAUGUCGAUAAAUCCCGGCGUUCCAGAAGCGACAAAAAUAAGAGAAGAGUGUCUAGAACGAAAUAAAGACAUUGAAGAAUUAGAUGAACCAAUGUAUACAAAAAUUGGAAAGAUUUUAAAUCUGGAAAAUCAAACAAUAUUAAAUGUCAUUGCAGUCGUCGAAAAUAUCGGAGACACUGAUACAGUAUUUGCAAAAGACGGAAGGGAAUUUAAAAAAAAAAAGAUACAACUAAUUGAUAACAGUGAUGAGGCAAGUGUAAUUCAGAAUAAAAAAUCACAAUAAAUAUUAAUAAUCCUCAUGUUCUAGAUUACACUGACUUUAUGGAAUGAAAAUGCAGAAAAUUUUAUUGCAGACAAGGACACAAUAAUAACAAUAGAAAAAGCGAAAGUUGACGAAUAUCGAGAAAAAAAAUAUUUGGCAUUAAUACAGUCAUCAGUUAUAACUUACCAUGUGGAAACUUCUAAAAUAAAAAGUUUUCAUGAUUGGUAUUUAACAAAAUAUAAUAAAGAGGAACCGAAACCAAGCACUUCCAAAAUGGAAGACUAAAAUUAAUACGAAAUAUUUAUUUGAAAUAAAUUUAAGAAACAAUUUCUAAUAAACAAAAAAAAAUUUUUCCAAAAUAAAUUACUUACGGUCUUUUCUUUUAUUCUCUGUUUUCUUUUAGAAAUAUCGACAGACAAAGAGAUCAAUAAGCAUUAGAGCAUAUUUUAUUUUUCCGCAUGAUUUGAUGGCAUAAUCAUUUCAAUUAUACACAACUGAACUUUAUAGCAAUAUUUAAGAAUUAAUAAUUUUUAAGUUGAACCGCCAAAAUCGUUAAAUUGUAUUUUUAAUGGUACGUAUUCGGUCUAAUCCGUAUUUUAAAAAGAAUAUAGCAUAAAGUGAAACAACGCGGUGUCAGCUAAAAUAGUUCAAAAAAAGAAAACUAAUGGAAGAAGUAAUUUUUCAAAAACAUCGAAAAAGUGAAAAAUGUUGGAUCAGUCGAUUAAGUAGUUCAAAAGAACGCUCAUAAAGGAGGAAAAACGAAAAGUCAAAUUUAGAGCGUAUAUAUCAACCCGUUUACAUCAAAGGCAAUUCCACUUGUAUUGAGAAAAUAAAAACCAAACCGAUUUCUUCGUUUAUUAAGAAAAAAAAAAUUCAAAGUGAAACGCAACCCGGGCGAAGCCGGGGUAACACCUGCUAGUAAUAUUAUAAUAUCAAUAAAUAAUAUUAUCAUCGGUAGCGUGACAUAGAGGGCCGAACGAACACCCGUGUACGACUGUCCCACUCAGUCCCAGUGUCCCACGGUCCGCGUAUCGCGAUCGACGCCCCCGCCGCCGAUGUUAUCAGCUGCACACAACAGCUGAUCGACUUUGUCUUUCCCUCCGCGAUUUCUGACAAAUUACAAAAUGACGAUUACCGCACCGACACCACUUGACUGACUUGAGUGUCACACUUGAGCACUUGACAGUCACAAAUAUAUAUAAUCACAUAUAAUAUUAAUGUGUUAUAAUAAAGAUAAGACCAGUCGUCGGUCGAGUUGUACUUGAGUACUCGUCGGGUUCAUACCGAUACCGUUUGUCGUAUCAGCAGUCGGUACUCGUAUCUCUGAGAAGUGUGAAGCGGCAGUAACGUAAUAUUAUUAUUAUUAUUAUUACUGCUUUGUUGUUAUGACUUAAUACUUGGUAAUUAUUAUUAUC